rnacentral:rRNA from 1 species
AAUGAACGUUGGCGGCGUGGAUUAGGCAUGCAAGUCGAGCGAGAACCCAGCAAUGGGGGACAGCGGCGAAAGGGACAGUAAUGUGUAGAUUAUCUGCCCUCAGGUCCGGGAUAGCUGCGGGAAACUGCAGGUAAUACCGGAUAACAUCUCCGGAUCAAAGGUGUGAUUCCGCCUGAGGAUGAGUCUACAUCCUAUUAGCUAGUUGGCAGGGUAAUGGCCUACCAAGGCUUUGAUGGGUAGCGGGUGUGAGAGCACGACCCGCGUCAUUGGGACUGAGACACUGCCCAGACACCUACGGGUGGCUGCAGUCGAGAAUCUUCGGCAAUGGGCGCAAGCCUGACCGAGCGACGCCGCGUGCGGGAUGAAGGCCUUCGGGUUGUAAACCGCUGUCAGAGGGGAUGAAAUGCGGGUGGGUUCUCCCAUCCGUUUGACAUAGCCUCAGAGGAAGGACGGGCUAAGUUCGUGCCAGCCGCCGCGGUAAUAC